rnacentral:rRNA from 1 species
UACCAGCACCCCGAGUGGUCGGGACGAUUAUUGGGCCUAAAGCAUCCGUAGCCGGUUCUACAAGUCUUCCGUUAAAUCCACCUGCUUAACAGAUGGGCUGCGGAGGAUACUAUGGAGCUAGGAGGCGGGAGAGGCAAGCGGUACCUAGUGGGUAGGGGUAAAAUCCGUUGAUCCAUUGAAGACCACCAGUGGCGAAGGCGGCUUGCCAGAACGCACUCGACGGUGAGGGAUGAAAGCUGGGGGAGCAAACCGGG